UACGUAGGGGGCAAGCGUUGUCCGGAAUCACUGGGCGUAAAGGGGUGCGUAGGCGGUACUGCAAGUCUGAAGUGAAAGUUCAGGGCUUAACCCUGAGAGUGCUUUGGAAACUGUAGAACUUGAGUGCUGGAGAGGCAAGGGGAAGUUCCACGUGUAGCGGUGAAAUGCGUAGAUAUGUGGAGGAAUACCAGUGGCGAAGGCGCCUUGCUGGACAGUUACUGACGCUGAGGCACGAAAGCGUGGGGAGCAAACAGG
rnacentral:rRNA from 1 species